GUCUUCGUGGCUCAGUUGGUUAGAGCGUCAGUCUCAUACUAAAUAAGUAUGACUUGAUAACUUCAAGAUAUCUGAAGGCCGCGAGUUCGAACCUCGCCGAGGACA